UAAAGAUCUGCUUGCUUAUUCCCUCCAAAACCACGAUUUAGUCAGGUGAAGUCUCUUGCUCUCUCGUUCCUCUCCAGACGCACUCUCAGUCCUCUACAGCCGCUCUCUCUGCCUCUCGCGCGCCUGCUCUCUCGUGAAUCCCAGCAUGGAUGAAAGAAAGAUUGUGGCUUGCUUCAUUGUUAAGUUGUGGUACUUGAAUAUUGUGACUUGGUUGAUGAUGUGGUUCACGAUGAAUCAUAAUUCAGCUAGAAGGCGGAAUCAGCAACUUGCACUUAGAAAUUCAAGUACCAAGAAAAGGAAGAGGUCAGCUGCUAAUGAUAAUGAUAUUGCUGUGACAUUUAAAGAAAUGCUUUCUGAAUCAAUUGAGAAGUUGGGUGAAGUUUUACAAGCUGCUUUUGGGAAAGGAGUGGAUCCAAAACCUGAAAUUGCUUCAGAAUUGUCAAAGAUGGAUUUGUCUAUUGAGGAUCAAAUCAAGGCAUUGAAUAUCAUUUUCGAAAAGCCACAGAAUGAGAGGACAUUCUUGUCGUUGGAUGGUGCAAUGAAAAAAUCAUUCAUACUCAUGUUACUUGGACAAAGUAACCACAAUUGACAUUGGAAAACAACAACAAUAUAUUUUGUUAAAAGCAGCAUGCAUAUCUUUUGUUAAAAGCUGCAACAUGUAUAUAUUUUGGGUACUUGGACAAAUUGCUUCUUACUAAAAGCAAAGCAGCAGCAUACAUAUAAUUUGGCUAUUUGGACAAACUGUUUCUCACUGAAACCAACUUGCAUUUGUAUAUUUUGUGAACUUGGAUGUGUGGUUGGAUAAAUCUAUAUAACGUAACGACUGUAGUUGUAUUUUGUGAA